ACGGCCGUAGCUCAGUGGUAAAGCACACAAUUGAAGAUCACGAACAAUGUAUGCCUGUUCGACUCAGGCCGGUCGUA